rnacentral:lncRNA from 1 species
AUAUAUAUAUAUAUAUAUAUAUAUAUAUGUGGACAGAAAUGAAGCUGAACCAACCAAAGGGUUUACAUGACAUGCCAUCGCCGAUCCCAGGCUAGUGCUUUCGAGGCUUUGAUGGCUUGGUCCUCCUCUGCUUCCCAAAAAUUCCACAAAGCAUGCAGCCGGAGACCUCAGGAGAAGGUGGAUCCAUGGAAGGUGGGACGUGCGCGGUGCGAAAUGGCUGCAUGCCGUUGCUGCGGCUACGUUUCAUCAUCCCGAUGGAUCCGACGCUUUGAGAGUGCCUCAGCUCCCCGAAUUCGAAGCCUUCCUCCUCUUUCUUCAUCUCAUUCAGCUCCCCUGAGAAGAACCUAUCAUCCCAUACCAAACCAGAUGACCCAGACCUCCUGAAGGUCUGAACAGAUCUCUGCAGCCCUGCCAUCUAUCUCUCCGAUACAGAAUUCUGUGAUGAAAGGAAGGAGGAGAGUUACAAUGAGAAGAAUAAUACAUGAUUGUCC